GCGUGAGUGAAGAAGGCCUUCGGGUUGUAAACCUCUUUCGCCGGUGACGAUAAUGACGGUAGCCGGAGAAGAAGCCCCGGCCAACUCCGUGCCAGCAGCCGCGGUAAUACGGAGGGGGCUAGCGUUGUUCGGAAUUACUGGGCGUAAAGCGCGCGUAGGCGGCCUUGCAAGUUGGGCGUGAAAGCCCGGGGCUCAACCCCGGAGGUGCGCCCAAGACUGCUUGGCUUGAGGCCGAGAGAGGGUGGCGGAAUUCCCAGUGUAGAGGUGAAAUUCGU
rnacentral:rRNA from 1 species